rnacentral:rRNA from 1 species
CCUACGGGAGGCAGCAGUAGGGAAUCUUUCACAAUGGGCGCAAGCCUGAUGGAGCAACGCCGCGUGCAGGAUGAAGGCCUUCGGGUUGUAAACUUCUUUUAUCAGCGAGAAAUAUGAUGGUACCUGAUGAAUACUGAUCGGCUACCUACGUGCCAGCAGCCGCGGGCAUACGUAGGAUCCGAGCAUUGUCCGGGGUGACUGGGUGUAAAGAGUUGCGUAGGUGGCAUAAUAAGUAGCUAGUGUAAUCUGGUGGCUCAACCAUUCAGACUAGUAGCUAAACUGUUAAGCUUGAGACCGUUAGGGGUAACUGGAAUUUCUAGUGUAGGAGUGAAAUCCGUAGAUAUUAGAAGGAACACCAAUAGCGAAGGCAGGUUACUGGGACGGUUCUGACACUAAGGCACGAAAGCGUAGGGAGCAAACGGGAUUAGAUACCCGAGUAGUC